GACGGUGUUGAAAAUGCACAGGCGGAUGUUGAUGGGAGCCCACCUGCCGCCGACGUUUUGCAGCAGCAGGCUGCCUCAUUGCUUCGGCCCCUGGCUGUAUGCGGGCUGUUUGCUCCGUUGGUUGGAUCACCCAGGCUCGCAGCCGAAAUUGAAAAUGUUUCAGAACCUGGAACAGCUAGUAAAAAAUGCUCUGAUGCAUGAGUUUUUUGUGCUUCUAACCAAGGGGUGGCCGCUGAACGGACUGAUGGCGUGACAACGGAAGGGGUGCAAGUGAGCGUUAAGACUGGCGGAGGUGAGACGGUUGUUAAUCGCAGUUCGACGAUGGAACUGGGGAUUGGGUCUGUUGGGCGGGGGCGAGGCUGGACCAAGUCAUCAAUUGCCGCGAGGCUUCUUAUCGGGCCCCCGUCUGUCAGCGCAGGCUGUUCCUCGGGCUUGCGUGCAGCAGACUACGUGCCCGGGGUAUCUUGCGAGGGGGAACAGCCCGUGGGUACGCGCAGUGGAGUGUAUAUAAAAAAAUACCAAUUCACGUUUCUUAUUUGGGUUUAAUGUCUAAACACGGUAAAAAUGUGGGCCUUCAUGUGUUAACUAUUUAUUAUCGCUCCCGUAGGUGUUGACGGUAGCAGAAGCCGGGUGGGGGGCAGUAGCCAGCCGAGUUUUAGCUUGGGGAUCUCGCAGGAAGUAGCGUGUGGCGCGGGAGCAGGCGAAAAAUCACCUGUAGCAGGUGUCCAGACUGACUUCGGACCCGGGCCUUCGGAUGAUCUGGACGUGUCGGCCACCAUAUCUAGCCCUGUCAGAAGCCCUCUAAGCUUCAAGUCAUGGGUGCGCGAAGGUGAGGCCCCUACAAAGGUUGAUGUUGCGUCGGGUAGCCAACCUAGUUUCAGUCUGGGGAUAUCGCAGAGUGUGCCUUGUGAGCGGCAGCCAAACGGGAAAAACUCGAGUAAUGAGGCCGGAUCGGGUUCCGUACGUAGUGGUGGUGCGGGCGGCACCGACGGUGCAAGAAGACGUUUAGGAGCUGAUAUCUGCGGCUGGGGCCCUAUUGCAACCCGGGGCCCGUUCGACAUGGCAGAGGGCAGUAAGCGCACGGGGACUGGGGGGCACCCGAAGCAAACGGAGCCUAUUCAAGCAAGACCAAUCAGAGCGUUUCACGAGAAGCCGCGCUUGCGUUCCAACCCUGAUGAUGUCGAGAUAGACCCAAAACAAA